AGAGUUUGAUCAUGGCUCAGGAUGAACGCUGGCGGCAUGCCUAAGACAUGCAAGUCGUACGAAGGGGCCCAAUGAAAAGAAUUGAAGUUUGAAGUGCUUGCACUGAGAAUGGAUUGAAUUGGAUUUGGAUUUUCCCCUUAGUGGCAAACGGGUGAGUAACACGUGGGUUACCUGCCUCCAAGAUGGGGAUAACAGUUGGAAACGACUGAUAAUACCGAAUGUGCUCUACGGAGUAAAGAACCUUUAAAGCUUCGCUUGGAGAUGGGCCUGCGGCGUAUUAGCUAGUUGGUGGGUAAUGGCCUACCAAGGCAACGAUGCGUAGCCGAACUGAGAGGUUGAUCGGCCACACUGGGACUGAGACACGGCCCAGACUCCGUACGGGAGCA
rnacentral:rRNA from 1 species